rnacentral:rRNA from 1 species
AAUGGGCGGAAGCCUGAUCCAGCCAUCCCGCGUGCUUGAUGAAGGCCCUCUGGGUUGUAAAGAGCUUUAGUCUGGGAAGAAACUUGUUUCUGCGGAAGCAACUGACGGUACCAGAAGAAUAAGCACCGGCUAACUCCGUGCCAGCAGCCGCGGUAAUACGGAGGGUGCAAGCGUUAUCCGGAUUUACUGGGUUUAAAGGGUGCGUAGGCGGCACUAUAAGUCAGGGGUGAAAGCCUACGGCUUAACCGUAGAAAUGCCUUUGAUACUGUAGUGCUUGAAUUAGAUUGAGGUCGGCGGAAUGUGGCAUGUAGCGGUGAAAUGCAUAGAUAUGCCAUAGAACACCAAUUGCGAAGGCAGCUGACUAAGUCUAGAUUGACGCUGAGGCACGAAAGCGUGGGGAGCAAA